rnacentral:tRNA from 1 species
GCCCCCGUAGCUCAAUGGAUAGAGCACCGGACUUCUAAUCCGACGGUUCCGCGUUCGAAUCGCGGCGGGGGCG